UACGAAGGGGGCUAGCGUUGCUCGGAAUCACUGGGCGUAAAGCGCACGUAGGCGGAUUGCUAAGUCAGGGGUGAAAUCCUGGAGUUCAACUCCAGAACUGCCUUUGAUACUGGCGAUCUCGAGUCCGGGAGAGGUGAGUGGAACUGCGAGUGUAGAGGUGAAAUUCGUAGAUAUUCGCAAGAACACCAGUGGCGAAGGCGGCUCACUGGCCCGGUACUGACGCUGAGGUGCGAAAGCGUGGGGAGCGAACAGG
rnacentral:rRNA from 1 species